GCUUAACGCGAAGAACCUUACCAGGCCUUGACAUGCAGAGAGCUUUCCAGAGAUGGAUUGGUGCCUUCGGGAACUCUGACACAGGUGCUGCAUGGCUGUCGUCAGCUCGUGUCGUGAGAUGUUGGGUUAAGUCCCGUAACGAGCGCAACCCUUGUCCUAGUUACCAGCACGUUAUGGUGGGCACUCUAAGGAGACUGCCGGUGACAAACCGGAGGAAGGUGGGAUGACGUCAAGUCAUCAUGGCCCUUACGGCCUGGGCUACACACGUGCUACAAUGGUCGGUACAGAGGGUUGCCAAGCCGCGAGGUGGAGCUAAUCUCACAAAACCGAUCGUAGUCCGGAUCGCAGUCUGCAACUCGACUGCGUGAAGUCGGAAUCGCUAGUAAUCGCGAAUCAG
rnacentral:rRNA from 1 species